GGGCAAUCUGCCCUGCACUCUGGGACAAGCCCUGGAAACGGGGUCUAAUACCGGAUACGAGGUUCGGAGGCAUCUUCGAACUUGGAAAGCUCCGGCGGUGCAGGAUGAGCCCGCGGCCUAUCAGCUUGUUGGUGAGGUAAUGGCUCACCAAGGCGACGACGGGUAGCCGGCCUGAGAGGGCGACCGGCCACACUGGGACUGAGACACGGCCCAGACUCCUACGGGAGGCAGCAGUGGGGAAUAUUGCACAAUGGGCGCAAGCCUGAUGCAGCGACGCCGCGUGAGGGAUGACGGCCUUCGGGUUGUAAACCUCUUUCAGCAGGGAAGAAGCGAGAGUGACGGUACCUGCAGAAGAAGCGCCGGCUAACUACGUGCCAGCAGCCGCGGUAAUACGUAGGGCGCAAGCGUUGUCCGGAAUUAUUGGGCGUAAAGAGCUCGUAGGCGGCUUGUCACGUCGAUUGUGAAAGCCCGAGGCUUAACCUCGGGUCUGCAGUCGAUACGGGCUAGCUAGAGUGUGGUAGGGGAGAUCGGAAUUCCUGGUGUAGCGGUGAAAUGCGCAGAUAUCAGGAGGAACACCGGUGGCGAAGGCGGAUCUCUGGGCCAUUACUGACGCUGAGGAGCGAAAGCGUGGGGAGCGAACAGGAUUAGAUACCCUGGUAGUCCACGCCGUAAACGGUGGGAACUAGGUGUUGGCGACAUUCCACGUCGUCGGUGCCGCAGCUAACGCAUUAAGUUCCCCGC
rnacentral:rRNA from 1 species